GCGUGAGUAACCUGCCUUUCAGAGGGGGAGUAACGUUCUGAAAAGAAACGCUAAUACCGCAUAACAUCAAUUUAUCGCAUGAUAGGUUGAUCAAAGGAGCAAUCCGCUGGAAGAUGGACUCGCGUCCGAUUAGCCAGUUGGCGGGGUAACGGCCCACCAAAGCGACGAUCGGUAGCCGGACUGAGAGGUUGAACGGCCACAUUGGGACUGAGACACGGCCCAGACUCCUACGGGAGGCAGCAUG
rnacentral:rRNA from 1 species